UGAGGCAAGGUAUAUUUAAUGUGAUAUAUAAUGGAGUUGUGUUGUGCAUGAGGCAGCGUAGAUUUACUGUGAUGUAACAUGUAUAAUUGAACGUGGUUGUGCAUGAGGCAGGGAUUUGUUAUAGCUAACUACUUGUUAUUGUAUUUUUAGGGAACAAUACAAUAUGAAGUUAUUGGAGAUGGUGUGGCACCUGCUUUCUUCCGAUUGGAUCAGACUUCAGGAAUCAUCACUAUGUAUGAUAUCAAUGCACUUCUGUUUGAUAGAUAUUCAUCAUAUAAUCUCAAUGUGGUUGCAUAUGACUCAGUUUACCCAAAUGCUCGGGCAACAGCUACUGUAACCCUCAGUGUAAACAGAAAUCCUUCAGGACCAACGUUCAAUCCACGAAAUUAUGCCAAGACAAUUCCAGAAUCUUAUGAACUCGGAAGAGAAGUUCUUAGUGUGUUUGCAACUGAUCAAGAUGGGGAUGUGUUAUUUUAUGAAAUACUUGGUGAUAAUCGAGCUCUUGAGUACUAUUUCAUCAAUAGUAGAACUGGAGUUAUCUCCCUCAAGAAAGUAUUGACAACUGGCACACAAAGAACAGACAGGAUUACCAUUCGAGUGCGUGAUCAAAAUGUACCAGAAUUGAGUGAUACAGUAUUUGCUGAUAUUAUUAUUACUCGCGAUUCAGCUCCUCCAGAAUUUAUCAAUGCACCAUACACUGCUAAUAUUUUUGAAAGAAC